rnacentral:rRNA from 1 species
AGGACGAACGCUGGCGGCGUGCUUAACACAUGCAAGUCGAGCGGAAAGGCCCUUCGGGGUACUCGAGCGGCGAACGGGUGAGUAACACGUGAGCAACCUGCCCUUGGUUUCGGGAUAGCUCCGGGAAACCGGAAUUAAUACCGGAUAUGAAUGAGGCUGGCAUCAGCCACAUUGGAAAGUUUUUCGACCAGGGAUGGACUCGCGGCCUAUCAGCUAGUUGGUGAGGUAACGGCCCACCAAGGCGACG